UACGUAGGGCGCAAGCGUUAUCCGGAAUUACUGGGCGUAAAGCGCGCGCAGGCGGUUUUCCAAGUCAGUGGUGAAAGCCCGGAGCUCAACUCCGGAACUGCCAUUGAAACUGUUAAACUUGAGGACGAGAGAGGUGAGUGGAAUUCCCAGUGUAGAGGUGAAAUUCGUAGAUAUUGGGAAGAACACCAGUGGCGAAGGCGGCUCACUGGCUCGUAUCUGACGCUCAGGCGCGAUAGCGUGGGGAUCAAACAGG
rnacentral:rRNA from 1 species